CUCACACCAUGUAUCAGACUGAUUGCACACGUGCGUCAGUGUCUCGGCAGCCAGGGACGUUUAUUAUCAGCGGUAUUCAUUUAUACAGUUGGGACAUGUACGGCAAUGUCAGCUUGCUACUGCAUAUCAAGGCCCGCAUUUAAUUUACCGCCGGCCGGCCUACCAUUCCACAAACACACUGCCACCUGGGCUCGCCCACAGUAUGGCACGAGUAAACUCUACCUUUUGUGCAGAAUAAUUCUUACCAAUGGUCCCUGUUGCACAACAGCUGUAGAAACGUAAUUAAUAAACAAUGUAAGCGUACAAAAACUCUUAAAGUCACAUUGUCUUUAGACAUUUAUAAUAUAUGUCUGCUGUGUCUUCUUAAAGAAAUAUAUGCCUAUAUUUAUGCGUUAUUCCUCUUUACAGGGUCAGCACAACGCAGAUGCAAACAACCUAUAAAUAUAGCUACAGCAACGUGCCGUAAUGGGACUGUUGAAGAAGUCUGGGGAUUUAACAAAUCAGAUGAUAAGUGCGUAAAAUAUUUGUCCCUCAGUUGCACCAGAGCAGCAAAUAAAUUUGCCACAGUAAAAGAGUGUUUGCAAACCUGUAACCCCACAUCCAGGUGCCUAAAGCAACCGAAGCAUUAUUGGAUUCCGACUUUCGUAUCAUAUUAUUUUGAUGCUAAUAAAACCCAAUGCGUGGAGAGAAAAAUAACUUGGAAAAAAGGAACCAGCAAGAAAAAUAACAGAUUCAAAACAAGAGAAGAAUGCAUAAAUGAAUGCAUGCCAAGCACUUUUAUAGUCGUGAAUCAUAACUUCAUGGCAUAAGGCAACCGAAAUAAACGACAUUUAAUAUGGUUGCGUAA